UAUAGGAGUCGUGUGCAAGGUAUACAAUAUACCUGCAACCGAGAAUUAUGUAAUAUGUACAAUGAUUUCAACUUCUAUAUUAGCACCGUCAAUGCAACUAUGCUUCGAUCAUUUUACACGUGUUAAACUGUAUUUGAUGAAGGUUAUAUUGUGGAGCUUCGUAUACACGUAACGAACAUGAUUACGAGCCGACAAAAUUUCGCUUACAUAAGUGUUCAUAAGUUCGUCCACAUGUCGCUUAAUGUGUGUCAUACCGUUUAUUUUCAAUAAAUCGCGCCUAUUUUAUACAGGGUUGUAAUUUGACGAAAUCGUUCCCCUACUUAAACUUCAAUUUCAGGCGGAUACGGAAAUAGUUUUAUAUAUUAAUACUUAAUGUAAAAAAUGGAAUACACAUUUUAAGCAAAAUGGUUAGAAUAGACAAAUAGAAAUAUAGUUUACUAUUUUCGUAGUGAUAGGAGGAACUUUUUAAUUUAUUCAGUAUAGUAUUGCAAAUUGUAAAUAUCACAUUUCUGUUUCAUACGACAUGCAUUCGCAGCAUGCAAAUGUCUGGAUAAGAUUGCGGAUAGUGUCGAUACAAAUGUGGAUUACGUGAAUGAAAUAUAAAUAACUGAAAUAUGAACUCAGUUCAUAAGUUCGUGUUUUUAUACAUUUAUUAAAAAAUAACGCGUAAAAAUAAUUUAAUCGGCAAAUAUGUGAAUUGGAAUAAAUCUUAAUAUAUAUUUUUAUAAUUCUGACAUAGCAAAAUUACGUACUUAUGGGAUUAUGAAGCUUAUUAUAACAAACAGACGUUAAGAUAAAAAAAGUAUCGAUAACCUUCAAAUAAUCUGUAUUGUUACUUUGGGCGAAUAUCUAUUAUAAUUAUCAAAUGCACAGAAGCACAUUUUUUAUGAAUCAUGUUUUUUAUCUUCGGUAAUAGCAAAAAUAAUUAAGUAUUCAAUAUAUACACUCUGUAUAUAUAAUGGUAAUAUCAUAGCUGCCGAAAGCGAAACUUCCUUUCUGAAACAUUAUUCUUUUUUAAAUUGCGCAAUAUUUCUUUUCCAAUUAUCAUUACCCAGAAGGUUCUACGAAAUUUACAGCAAUAGCGAGUAAUUUGUAAACAUUAAUAUAUGGUUAUCUAAUCGUUUGUCGACUUCAAAUAAAAUAAUAUUGUAUAUUAUUUAUUUAUUUAUUUAUUAUUGCUUAGUCCGUGCCUUUCAACUUUGGACGAACUUUCGGUUUUACAUCUCUUAUACCUAUUUCGCUUUUCAUAUAUCUACCUCCCCUUUUAUCCAUUCUAUUAUAUUGCACUCCUUAAUUAUUCUAUCUUUAAGAACUAAAACUAACAAAAACUAAAAACUAAAAACUAAUGACUAAAAAACUAUUGCAACUUUGGGCUUUUGUCUCCUUGUUGUGCUUUCUUCCUGUCGUUCCUCCCCGUCUUGUACUGACCUUCUCUUCUCUAUUAUUGCUUUUAGUUCUGUUAGACCUUCUCCAGUUUCAUUUAGUGUUUUUUCUAUGUCCUUUUGUCCUCCCGUUACUUCACAUUCUUCUAUUACAUGUCUCAGGUCUUCUUUCCUUUUACAUAGUCUGCAUCUGUUUUCUCCCUCUUCUUUCCAGUAUUCCCUUGCUUUGGUCUCGUUUUCACAUCUGAACCUUGCUAAUAUUCUUCUGUCCUUCCAGUUCAUUCUCCCUUCUACGUACUUUGGUAAUUCUUCUUUGGCGAUUAAAAUAAUAUUAUAUAACUAAUAUAAUAAUAUUUUAUCUGUAUAACUUGUCCCAUAAUCUGUGUUUAUUCUAAGAAGCCGCUAAUGAUAUUGAGUCACAAGGUAAUAAAAUUCUUAUUACCAUGAGUCGGUAAAAUUUGUCUUUUGAAUCAUCAUAACGAAAACAUUUCUGAUAAAAGGUGACGAAGUUAGUUUCAAAAUGUACAAUAUUAUACCUACGGAACAGGAUAUGAAACUUUAUAAAAGGAAAGGAAAAAAAUGUUAAAAUUAAAGAAUAUUUUUUUAAUGUCUUAUUAUUAAAUAAAAUUGGCGAGAAAAUCGAUUUUGAAAAUUCAUCGAAUAUGUUAACACUUAACUUCGAUAUCGAUAAACUAAAAUCGAUAGACAGAUAAAAUAUUGAAAACGAUAAAAUAUUCUAUAAUUUAUCAGGAUAAAAGGAAAGAUACAACGCGUACCAAGAAAAAUGACUCAUUUAUUAAAUACAGUCUUAUACAUUUCAUGAACAUAGUGAAAUCGUAUCGGCACCUGAAUUUACUCAUGCUUGAUUUAAGCGACAGCAAGAUUAAAAACCUCGCUUACAUACCUAUUCUCUUAUAGACCAAUAUACACAUAUAUUUUAUUCGAUUUCGUACUAGGUAUGCUAGCAAUGUGCUUUUUCGACGAAAUAGUCAUCUUGGUAUGUAAACUAGACUCAAAUCGUCACUGUCUGAUCUGAGGGAGAAUGGCCCGGAAAUGAGAGUACUCUAAGAGUACCUCAUAUUUGUUUAUACAUGGACACCGCCAGAGAAUCAGAGAACACUGAGAUUGUUGCACAUUUUCAUUGAAACGGGAAGAUAGCGUUUGAUUACGGAAAGCACAAGUAUACAUCCGUGCAAGCAAACAUCAAAGUAAUUUAACUUCAAAAGAAGCAAAUGUCUCUUGGCGUGUGUCGUUAAUCGGAAAUUAGCAACAAGUGUGAAAAGUAACGUCACUUGCGACAAUUAUAGUCUAAAAUAAAUAUGUUUAACGAUUUAACUUAAAUAUACAAAGGAUAACAAACGAUAAAUUUUAUAACACCGAUCGAUCCUCGACUAGCAAAGCGAAGCAAAAAUAAUUUAGCAUCAUUAAACUGAAGCAUGAAUAAUAAAUUAACAAUUGAAGAGACGCGGGAAAAAACGUAAUAAGUUUAUCUUUUUGAAUAAUUUCGUUGUCCAUUGGUGGUAAAAGUAACAGAGGAGGAAGUAACAUAUUCAAUUAAAAGAUAUGUCUCUUAAAGACAGAUAAUGUUUUGGUAACAUGAUAUUGAUUAUUGAAUUUUGGAAUUACUGAUUAUGUUCUUUCUGUAGUCUCUAAUUAUAAUUACCGAAGAGAAUACGAACAGAAAUAACAAAGUAAAAAAUUGCUAUAGAUCUAAUCUAUGUUAUAUAGCUAUAAUUAUUACAGAUUGAACUCUGUUAACAAUUCUCUGCGAACUGGAUUGCACAAACUAAUAAA